GUUUGAUCAUGGCUCAGAACGAACGCUGGCGGCAGGCCUAACACAUGCAAGUCGAGCGCCCGCAAGGGAGGCGGCGGACGGGUGAGUAACACGUGGGAAUUUCCUCAAGGUACGGAACAACUCAGGGAAACUUGGGCUAAUACCGUAUGAUGCAGAGAUGCCAAAGAUUUAUCGCCUUGGGAUAAGCCCGCGUCAGAUUAGGUAGUUGGUGGGGUAAUGGCCUACCAAGCCUGUGAUCUGUAGCUGGUCUGAGAGGACGAUCAGCCACAUUGGGACUGAGACACGGCCCAAACUCCUACGGGAGGCAGCAGUGGGGAAUCUUGCGCAAUGGACGAAAGUCUGACGCAGCCAUGCCGCGUGAAUGAUGAAGGUCUUAGGAUUGUAAAGUUCUUUAGCCUGUGACGAUGAUGACGGUAACAGGAGAAUAAGCCCGGCUAACUUCGUG
rnacentral:rRNA from 1 species